AGAGUUUGAUCAUGGCUCAGAAUGAACGCUGGCGGCGUGCUUAACACAUGCAAGUCGAACGAGAAAGCCGUAGCUUGCUAUGGCGAGUAAAGUGGCGCACGGGUGAGUAACGCGUGGGUAAUCUGCCCUUGAAUUUGGGAUAACACUUCGAAAGGAGUGCUAAUACCGGAUAACAUCUUUUUUGUUGCGGCAAGAGAGAUCAAAGAUAGCCUCUUCUUGAAAGCUAUUGUUUGAGGAUGAGCCCGCGUACCAUUAGCUUGUUGGUGGGGUAAAGGCCUACCAAGGCGACGAUGGUUAGCUGGUCUGAGAGGAUGAUCAGCCACACUGGAACUGGAACACGGUCCAGACUCCUACGGGAGGCAGCAGUGAGGAAUUUUGCGCAAUGGGCGAAAGCCUGACGCAGCAACGCCGCGUGAGUGAUGAAGGAUUUCGGUUCGUAAAGCUCUGUCAAGUGGGAAGAACCUACAUAGUGUUAAUAGCAAUAUGUACUGACGGUACCACUGAAGGAAGCACCGGCUAACUCCGUGCCAGCAGCCGCGGUAAUACGGAGGGUGCAAGCGUUAUUCGGAUUUACUGGGCGUAAAGGGAGCGCAGGCUGCCAGAUAAGUCAGAUGUGAAAGCCCGGGGCUCAACCCCGGAAGUGCAUUUGAAACUGUUUGGCUUGAGUAUGGUAGAGGGAAGUGGAAUUCCAGGUGUAGCGGUGAAAUGCGUAGAUAUCUGGAGGAACACCGGUGGCGAAGGCGACUUCCUGGACCAAUACUGACGCUGAGGCUCGAAGGUGUGGGUAGCAAACAGGAUUAGAUACCCUGGUAGUCCACACAGUAAACGGUGAUCACUAGGUGUUGCGGGUAUUGACCCCUGCAGUGCCGCAGCUAACGCAUUAAGUGAUCCGCCUGGGGAGUACGGUCGCAAGAUUAAAACUCAAAGGAAUUGACGGGGGCCGCACAGCGGUGGACAUGUGGUUUAUUCGACGCACGC
rnacentral:rRNA from 1 species